rnacentral:lncRNA from 1 species
AUCCUGCUUGGCCAGCUGAAGGUUUGAGACUCAGGAUGGGGUCAUGGCUGAGACUAUGAGGGCUGCUCGUGCAUGACCCUGCCUGCUGGCCUCCAUGGGCCCACUAUCUGAAUGUGGUUACCCUUCUCCCCAGGACCAGGUGCCACCUCCUCUGGGAAGCUUUCCCUGCCCGUCCACAGGGUAUGCCUCCUUGUUCCUCUCCUGCCAUCGGUUUACGUGCCUGUCUCCAUCAACAGACCAGGAGCUCCUGAGGACAGGGACUGAGUCUGCCUGAUUCAUCUCUGCAUUCCUAGCACUUACCUUGGUGCUUAGUGAAAGCUCGAACCUGCCUGGGUUCCCACCUUGUCUCUGCUACCCCCAGCUCUGUGAACUCAGAGUCAUUUUUCUCUCCCCGAGUGGCACCGGGCUCAGCAGACACUCUGGCCAUGAAGGCAUCUUCUGACUCAAGCAGGUCUAGAUGUCUACCCCCAAGGAAUCCCAGAACAGUUGAUCUCUCUUUUUAUUUUUUUAUUUUUUGAGAUGGAGUUUUGCUCUUGUUGCCCAGGCUGGAGUGCAAUGGCGUGAUCUCGGCUCACUGCAACCUCUGCCUCCCAGGUUCAAGCAAUUCUCCUGCCUCAGCCUCCCGAGUAGCUGGGAUUAUAGGCAUGCACCACCACGCCCAGGUAAUUUUGUGUUUUUAGUAGAGACGGGGUUUCUCCAUGUUGAGGAUGGUCUCGAACUCCUGACCUCAGGAGUUCGCCCGCCUCGGCCUCCCAAAGUGCUGGGAUUACAGGCAUGAGUCACCAGCGCAGUCGAUCUCUUCUAUAACGUUUGUUCCAUGGUGUUCUGUAGAAUGUGUAUCCGGCCUUGUGCUAAGCCCUGGUGCACUGCGUCUUAUCCAGUCUUUCCAGGAGAAACUGUAGCUUAGAGAUGUUGGAGAACUUACUCUUGCAGCACAACCCAUAAGUGGUGGUUUCAGGAAGAAGAUGCUUGGCACAGCACCAGCCAGGGAAUUGCCCAAGUGUCAGCUGUUAUGUCAUCCGUGCCACUAGUUCAGUGAAACUAACAUGAGACCUGGGACUAGCUGUGUGGCCUUGGAAGAGUGAUCUCUUUCUAAGCCUCAGUUUCCUCACCUGUAAAAGAAGGAUGAUAACAGCUACCCCUGGGGUUUUGGAAGGUUGUGGAGCAGUGGGUGGUAGAUGACCCUGAGAGAAACAGCAUAACUGAAGCAUACCCUGAGAAUGACCCCAUGGUCUGAGAAGAAUAUAUGUUCAGAGUUCUGAGCUAAGGAACGUGGGAGUGGCCAACCCAGAGUUUCAUUCCUUAUCUGAGUAACAUCUGAGCUCCUGGCCCCAUCCUAUGGAAUGCAGGCCGUACAGGGGAUUGAGACCCUGUGUUUUGGGUUAUGUGAACGUUGCCAGGUGGAGGGAGGUUGUUAGGGGGAGGCGCCAAGGAAAAGUGCUACAUAAACCACAUGCUUUUUGCAAGCAGUUGAGGUUCUCCUGUCCACCCAGCCACCACUGGUCCAUCCCUGUAAGCUUCCGUCUAAUGAAGCCCUAGGUCUCGGUGCUGUCCCUGGGUCUCUUCUUCAGCCUCUUGAAUCUGGUGCCAUCCCUAUUGAAAUCAAUAGGGCCUGACAGGCAGGCUGAAGAAUGUGUGCAGGAAGGUCCUCUGACAAAAGGGGUUCCAACAGGGUUUUUCAAUAAAGGUCCCAGGAUAGUCACAGCCAUGCAGUCCAGGGGGCAGUGGGUCUUGGCCACCAAGUGCAGUGGGGCAGGCCUGGAAGUGGCCUGAGGCAAACCCUGCCCCAUAGUGUGCCACACACAUGGAAAAGGACACCCAACCCAGUCAAAGCCUCCUCUCUUUUGGGAAGACAGUUGCUGUGCCUCCAGAGGGACACACGUUUGGAUGAAGGUGGCUGUCCUGCCCAGCUUCUUCUCUGGUUCUCUUUGAAUCAGGAACAGCUGAGGACCUAGGGUGGCUCAGCCGAUGAGGGCACGCACUCAAGUGGUUCCCACCAGACACAAUGGUGUGCAUCACUUCCCCUCUCCAAGUUCAAUGUCAUCAUAUUGGUAGCUUGAAAUUGGCUGUAGUGAGAGCAUUUACACCAUGGAAAUUGGCAGACACAGUCUAUAUUUUGUUCUUUUGUUUUUUUCAGAGCCAACUACUAAGCCUGUAGCAGCCUCCCAAACUGCCCAGUCUUGUUCAGAUGCACCUCCAGAAACACAGGGGUCCAAAAUGCCCCUUCCCAGACACCCUGAGGAGUAGAACAGUGCCAGCAGGCUCCAGGGAUGAGGGACUAGCUACCACAUUCCCUUUCCCAAGCCUCAGUUUCCCCACCUGUAAGAUGAGGGAUAUGGGCUCUGACUUUCUGAGUUUGGAAAAUAAAGUGCUCCCCAAACUGGGCUGCUUUCUCUGCCUCAAUUUUUCUUACUGGAGAGUCAAAGGCCCUGAAUUACUUUCAUCUAAGGGAUGCUUAGGCAUGGGCACACAGGACACUCACACCUUGCUGGUGGCCACACCCUCCCGCUGACCCUGCAGGACAGUUUGGCUCUGUCCGUCUAUUCAAGAGGUAAAUGCUCAUCCCCUUUGACCCAGCAAUUCCGCUCCUAGAAGCUCAUUCCAGAGAAUCACAUACAUGUGUGUGCCAAGAAGCACUUGCUCAUGGGGAUGUCCAUCCAUUCAGCUGCUAACAAGCCCUCACUUGGCCAAGCUCAAAUUCUAUUGUGGGGGAGGGUAACCUUGAGUGGCCUUAGAAAAACAAAUUGUCGCUUCCCCAGCUCCUGCCUCUGUGAGUCACCCCCCCAAGUGCUCUGCCUGCAGCCACUUGCCCUGGCAGGAAGACCCUUGGGCAGGCCCCACCAUGGCUCCACUCUGGAAUGCUGGGCACUUUGCCCCACUACGCUCUACAAAGGCAUCCCUUCCUUCUGGGCAGGUGAGCAGUCUCUCUAUACCCCUCACCUGGCUUUCAGGCUGCAUGCUCCUCUUUACCAACCUGUGGGUGGAAACACCCAGUCCUCUCCAAAACACCCUCACUCCAGUCUCUCAGCCAUUUUUAGCAAACUGAUGAUGGGCCAAGGUUGAUACACCCAGCACCCCUUAGUCUCCCCUUGAUCCCUCCUUCAGAGAGGUUCUGGCUCCCUCUUCAGAAGGUGUGGGCACCCAGUAUCUUUGCUCUCGGCACAAAUUCUGGGCAGAGAGAGACCCAUCUAACAUGCCCAUUACCAUAGUGAUGCCACGUUGACCACUCACCAUGUGGAAGGCAUUGUGCUGAGCACUUGAUGUCCAUGAUGUCAUCAAAUCCUCAGGUGACCCUGUAACCUCAUUUGUGGUCCACUUUUGCAGAUGAGGAGAUGUGCUCAGAGAGGUUAAGGGACAUGCCCAGGAUGCACAGCUGGAGGGUGGCAGAACUGAACGUAAGACUGGGCUUAUCUGAUUCCAAAGCCCAAGCUGUGCAUACCACGCACGCUGCCUGUAAACACACCCCGCACCUCCAGCCUCUGCCUUCACUUGUUUUUCAAGUGACUAAGGGUCCUACUUUUGAGUCAGGAUCUCUGAGCUGCAACUAGCCUUUGGGACAGGCUUAAGUUCAGGGCUUGGCAGUUACAGGCUGCCAAUAAAUAUUUGUUGAAUGAAUGAAUGCUUUGUGGCCUCUCCAGGACUGGGUUAGAGCUGGCAUGAACACUCCUUACCCUCUGUUUUCUUCAUCAAACCUCCCUAAGUACCUGCUUUGGGCCAGAGGAGACACGGACUCAGAGAAGAGGCAGGUGGUCUCACUGUUCAACUCCCCUGGGCCCUCGGCACAGGCUAAUCAUCAAAUGCCGCUCCUGUGCAGGACAUGGGUGCAGUCUCAGAGGUCCUCAGGUUGUCGGAGGACACAGAAGCAGGCUCCGAUGAUGCUCUGUCCGCCCACCCUUGGCAAGCUCACCUGCAGAUGGCUUCCAUCAUUCCAGCUAAGGGCCACUUCUGUCUGUCUGCCUGUGGCAACCUCAGGCCACAGGACCAGCCUGGGAGUGUGCCAACCUGUCCGCACUGCAGGCCAGACAUGCUGGGGAGGCAAUGUCUACAGUUGCCCUCUACCAGGAGGGAGAGCAGUUUAUGGGUGAAAUCAGUUUUCUCGUGCCUCAGUGGGGUGUGCUCCACAGUCUCCCAGAGAGCCCCACUAGGAGUGAGCCCCAGUUGCCCACAGCUGUGACCUGUGUGUUG